GUUACAGCCAACUCUUGGAGGAGAAAAUGACUUCACAGCAUGCUUUUUAUGUGGGGUCCAAACUGAAAGAAAACGACACCAACAUCCUCUUUGUAGCUUAAUUUUACAUAAAUGAUAAGGUCGAUGGGAGAUACCUCAUGAUGCACUUUUCUCGCCGGUAUUUACACCUUGGACCCAUCUGACUGAUACGCUGUGAUAGAAACGGAAAUGACAGUACCAUCUAGAUCUUCUCAACCACAUGCGAGUUGGGGGAAGCUCAGACAGAAUGGAUGCCUGAAGGUGUCCCUGCUUUCAAGCUGCCUUCGUGACAUGACUCCUGCCAACCUCUGCAGCCUCUUCUCUCACUCUUCC
ensembl:lncRNA